UUUAGGUCAAGCAUUGGAAUACGAUUUUUUCGGGGAGAGAACACCCAAAUAGAGACAAAUCCACCAACUACAUGCCGCAGUGAAAGGUCAUGUCACCUACCUUCAUCAGUGCUGGAAAACAGUAAGGGAAAGACCCUCAGACAUGUCAUAACAGGAUAAAGGCUGCAGACUCACCAAGGAUCCAGAUGAUUACUGGCAAUUUGGUGGAGGAUUUUUCUUUAGCUGCUAUCACUUCAGGUAUGCAUUCAUCAACCUUUUAUGAUAUGAUUUUACUCAAUUUAAUAAAAAUGUACACUACCGUUCAAA